CUGUGGGGAUUUGUUGGGGAGAAAUAAAGUGGAUGUGGGUGUCAAUCCCACCAGCUGUAACAAUCAGCCCUUCAGCGGCCAAAGCCUCAGUAGCAGGGCCCACGCAAAGAUUGUUGCAAACGCCAUCUUGCAUGUCUUUAUUGCCUGCUUUGCCAAUGCCAUGGAUUUUGCCAUUUUUAAUGCCAAUAUCGGCUUUAUAAAUGCCGGUGUAAUCCACAAUCAAGGCGUUGGUGAGCACGAGAUCGAGUUCAUGGCUGCUGGGGCUGUUGGUUUGUGCCAUCCCAUCGCGAAUGG
rnacentral:sRNA from 13 species